rnacentral:rRNA from 1 species
GCAGUCUGCAACUCGAGUGCAUGAAGCUGGAAUCGCUAGUAAUCGCGAAUCAGAAUGUCGCGGUGAAUACGUUCCCGGGUCUUGUACACACCGCCCGUCACACCAUGGGAGUCGGAAAUGCCCAAAGUCAGUGACCUAACCGAAAGGGAGGAGCUGCCGAAGGUGGAGCCGGUAACUGGGGUGAAGUCGUAACAAGGUACC